UACGGGGGGGGGCAAGCGUUUGUUCGGAAUUACUGGGCGUAAAGGGCGCGUAGGCGGCCAUCUAAGUCAGACGUGAAAUCCCCCGGCUUAACCUGGGAACUGCGUCUGAUACUGGACGGCUUGAGUAUGGGAGAGGGAUGUAGAAUUCCAGGUGUAGCGGUGAAAUGCGUAGAUAUCUGGAGGAAUACCGGUGGCGAAGGCGGCAUCCUGGACCAUUACUGACGCUGAGGCGCGAAAGCUAGGGGAGCAAACGGG
rnacentral:rRNA from 1 species